AUGCUAAUAAAGAAAAAAUAUAAAUUCUUACUUUCAUUGAUCACAGAUUCCAUUAUGAUUACUUUUGCUAUCUUCUCAUGUAUUAUAAGUUUUUUGAAAAGGAGGCUGAUUUAUUCUCCAAAAAUUUAUUCGAUCCUCGCCAAGCUCCACCAUCAUCUAUCAACAGUCCUCCCCACAAUACAAUGUCACACCUGGCAGCAGUAUCCUCCUCGGCGCGGCCAAGCGACCUGCAGGGGAGAUACCAUGCUGCUGGACGUUCCUAAGGGAGCAUCAGACUGGAGCCCAUUGAAAUCGAAAUAUGUUGACUGUUGA
rnacentral:rRNA from 1 species